GGGCCGUUGGUCUAGUGGUAUGAUUCUCGCUUAGGGUCCACCCUAUAGCAUCUGCAUGCGAGAGGUCCCGGGUUCAAUCCCCGGAUGGCCCC
rnacentral:tRNA from 1 species